GGCCUAUGUUCACAUCCGAAAGGCCACACCUUUCCACCUGAGAGGCCUUUCCACCACCAGGCCAGAACCCCACCGGAGACAGGGGGGUUCAACUAAGCGACAGUGCCAUCUUGUGCCCCAGGCACAACCAAGACCUCAGAAUGACAGAGCCAUCCGAGUACUUAAAGGAUUCAAUGCCCACAGAGAGGAAGUCCAUGUGGAGGACCUCGGAGGAGAGGCGGAUGUCCGACCUCACGCGGAUGCUGGAGUGGCUGCAACGCAGGCAGGGGAAGAAAAAGCAAACUUUCCAGAAACCCAACUGGGCGGUACCCCCUAAAACAACUGGGAAGGAAGAAAAGAAAGGCCGAAGCAUCCCCAAAAAGCAGAAAGGGAACCACCAGGCAGCCUUCUCUGAGAAGACCCCCGAGCAAGGCAUCAAGAAGGACAAGGACCAUGUCAUGUACCAAAAGCUAAAGGGAAAACGCCUCAGCCUGUUUCCUGGCAGCUACUCCAGGGACAACCCCAAGAAAUCUGAACUAGACAUCAAGGAUGCCAUCGUCCUGGAGUCCACUCAACGGUCCAUGCCAUACCAUCGACAAAGCAUCAUCGACCCCAUGCUCCAGGACCCUCUCUUUAGCACUCGGAGGUCGACGCUCUUGAGAGACUGGCUGGUAGGCAGGAUGCCCGAGGUCUCCUACGAGCGCAAGCUGAAGAGCCUCGUGGAGAAGGGCGCCGAGCCCAAGGUGGAGACGGUGAGAAUGCUGAAGCCGGAGGAGGUGCUGAGCUGCCGAUAUCUGAGGUUGUCCAAGAACAACAUUCGAACCUUGCUCAAGCUGUGCAAGGAUGCAGGCAUGAACGUGGACAUCCACCCCCACAUGGUCGAAGGGGAGAUAGACGCUAAAAAGGUGUUCGCGCAAAUCCCCAGUGUGGCCCUUUAGGCAGCUCCUCCCCCAGGCCAUUGCAAGCUCCCUCUGCUGUUGGAUCCCUGCCCACCCCCCAGUUUUCAGGAAUGCAAAUGAAAAAUACAAGGCAAUACCACCAACACCACCAGAAUGGAUGAUCCCAAUUAUAGUGGAAAGUGUAGAGCAAAGAGAACGCCAUUGGGAUGGGUACAAUCGCUUUGGAAAACUGGCAACAUCUACAAAAUUUGUUUACACACUGAUGCUGUGGUCCAGUAUUCAUUCCUAGAUACGUACUUCACAGGAUUGUACAGCUAUGUGCACCAAAAGACUGUCCUAGAACGUUCGCAGUGGCUUUAUUCAAUGCAGACAAAUACUGGAUUCAACCCAAACAUCCCUCAGCAGUAGAAAGAUUAACUAGCAGUGUAUUCAUACAAUGGAAUACUGCAUAGAAACGAGAAUGAGCAAAUACGGAUGAACGAAGCACGCAAUAUCACGCAAAAGUAGCAAGACACAGAAAGGAGGACAGCUGUAUGAUUCCCCGUAUACAACAGCACCCCCCACCCCCACCCCACGCCAGGCAAGACGAAUCUACCGUAGUAGAAGCCAGGAUAGCGGCGGCCCCUGGAGGAGGGUGUGUAGUGCCUGGAGCCGCAUCUGCCGUGCUGGUCACACGGGGGUCCAUUCACUGUACACUUCGGAGUGCUGCCUUUUAGGCAGGUAUACGUACUUUAAUUAAAGUACAUUUUUAAAAGUA